rnacentral:lncRNA from 1 species
CUAAUAGAGCCUAUCUCACACACCGUGGUGUCCUGAGGGAAAAGGCUGCUAACUGAUCCUUUGCUUCACAAGGGGAAUUGUUCUGGAAGAAGCUAUUUGAGGGCCUUUGCUGUGCACUCUGGCAAGGCAAGGGAAAUCUGGGUGUUGCCCUAAGCCUCCUGGAUGUCUGCUCAAGGGCUGUGGGAGCAGCACCCCAGGGAGAUGCUGCUGUGCCCAGAAACCUAGAAAGCAGAAGCAAGGCUUUAAAAGAGGAGAAAGAGGCCUUGGGAAGAGUGUAACAAAACACAUCUCUGGACAUCAGAAGGGUGAAUAUAAAGGAUGGUUUGAUCCAAGGCUGGGCAAAGGUGUCCUGCUAGGUGUGUGGGAGGAGACAAGACUGCAUUUAAACAGCCCUACUCUGUCACCACCACAUGCCCAGGGAAACCCUGCAGCCCCACAGAACAAAUAGCCAGCAUUGCCUUGAAGCUUCUGGAGCUCUUAAAAACAUCAAACACCAUGACAGAUUACAGGAGCAGGAAGGAGUACAGGAGCCAAAGGAUUCUGUCAGGCUGGGUUGAAAGCAGCAGCAGCCGCUGUAGCAGCAGGCAGAGCCCAAUCAGAAAUGACCUCACCAAGCUGCUCAUCUUCUUUGUGCAUUUUCAUUCCUGGAAAAAGCCCUGCCAAGCCAGAGAGUUCUCUGAGCAGGCCAGGCAAAGCAUCCAGUGCACAAGAGGAACCCACCAUCACUGCAGCUGCUUGCUAGAACUGGGAGAGGAGGCUGAGCACAGAAUCAGAACUGCUUUUAAGCACCCUGGGCAGAUGUUAGAAAACACAAGGGGCCUAUUACAGCUACCCUGGGCAGCCAACGUGUGUCAGCAGAGCAAACAUCGAAGGCUAUCCCAAUGUACUCCAAAAAUAAAAA